GUGCAACGCCACAAACUUGCGCUCCCGCUCUCUGUCAGGAACGGGGCGCUCACUGGUCGGUUCUUGGCUCAAGCUGAACAGAAAAGAGGAGUAUUUUCUGUUAUAUUCCCAUCUCACCUACGUGACUCUUCCUUUGCAUCGCAUCACCACAGAUAUUCUGGAGGUGCGACAAAAGCCCAUUUUGAUGACAUAACAUUUACUGACCCCUCAAAAUCCAUGUUACCAAGUGCCUCCUCACAUCAGGCCCCCGAGGAACCGCCGUGUGGCGUACAGACAGAUAACCAAAAACUAUGAACAAUACGCAACAGUGAACGAGAAGAGGAAAAGGGAAACCUAAGGAACAAACUCCAUCAAGAAGUGCCUCUUCCACAUGUUCUUCAGAGAGACGGCCUCCAGAAUGGCUCGAGACCUGGAACUAAAGUGGCACUAGACUGUGACGCUAAAGGGAAAUGUUUAUUGGGAGAUGAAACCCAAUAAACGAAUGUCAUUCUUGUAAAUACACUGCUGCUUAGAUACUCAGUGAACUGUACCGACCACAGCCGUCUCCCUUCAACCCUCCUUCAAGAGACACUCA